rnacentral:rRNA from 1 species
UCUACGGGAGGCAGCAGUGGGGAAUAUUGGACAAUGGGGGCAACCCUGAUCCAGCAAUGCCGCGUGUGUGAAGAAGGUCUUCGGAUUGUAAAGCACUUUCGACGGGGACGAUGAUGACGGUACCCGUAGAAGAAGCCCCGGCUAACUUCGUGCCAGCAGCCGCGGUAAA